AAUCCUUCAGUCAAACAACAUCUCAAAUGAGCUGUGGGCAUAAAAAUAUGUCAAACCUAAUCACUUAUCUCUUUAUAUGUCUCGAUCUGAAGGUGAUAUUUAGUUGAUGAUACAUUAGAAAUUUUUUUUAAUUAUCAUCCUGCUUUGGCCAAAGACUUCUAAAUCAACGACCUAUGAGAUCACAUAGAAUGUUCGCUCUCCUUAUUAGGAGUGACUGAUCCCUUAUUGAUCACUCAUAACCUCCAUGCAUUCUUCACCAUAUCCAAAAUACCCCAC
rnacentral:lncRNA from 1 species